AUAUAAAGUCCAAUUAUCAAAAUAAUUAAUAAUAACUCAAUGUGUGAGCAUGAUCUUUGUUGACUAUACGAGUUUGGAAUCGAUUAUAAUCUUGAGGUAUAUGUUGUCUCUUACGAGUACCUACAACUCUUGGCAGUGAUAUGAGGUGUGAGCAUGAUUCAAAACACGUAAACUGUUAUUGUGUUAUUUAUUAUGAAUUUGUGAUAUUUAUCAUAUCUUGUGGUUCGUACAUCAUAAAUCAUAACCCUAAACAAUCUUAUUCGGAACCCAAACCCUAAAUAACUAAACCCUAUACCCUAAACGGCAAACAACAAAUCAGCCGUAAAGGUCUUACUAACUCAGCCUGUUAGUGUAAGUUAAUAUUUACAUAUGGCGCGAAAAUUUUAGAUAUUUUAUCUCGCGACCUUU
rnacentral:lncRNA from 1 species